GCAAGUCGAACGAGAACGGGUUAAAGUUUACUUUAACUGUCAGCUAAGUGGCGCACGGGUGAGUAAUAUAUAGUUAAUCUGCCCUAGAGAAGGGGAUAACGUUUGGAAACGAACGCUAAUACCCUAUAUGCCUUUAUAACAUAAGUUAGCAAGGGAAAUAUUUAUAGCUCUAGGAUGAGACUGUACAGUAUCAGUUAGUUGGUGAGGUAAUGGCUCACCAAGACUAUGACACUUAACUGGUUUGAGAGGAUGAUC
rnacentral:rRNA from 1 species